rnacentral:tRNA from 1 species
UAUAGACCAGGCAGUAGUAUGUACUGACCAGGCAGUAGUAUUUACAGACCAGGCAGUAGUAUGUACAGACCAGGCAGUAGUAUGUACAGACCAGGCAGUAGUAUGUACAGACCAGGCAGUAGUAUGUACAGACCAGGCAGUAGUAUGUACAGACCAGGUAGUAGUACGUACAGACCAGGCAGUAGUACGUACAGACCAGGUAAUAGUAUGUGUGUAUAAUGCAUAGACUAGGCAGUAGUAUGUACAGACCAGGCAGUAGUAUGCAUAGACCAGGCAGUAGUAUGCAUAGACCAGGCAGUAGUAUGUACAGACCAGGCAGUAGUAUGCAUAGACCAGGCAGUAGUAUGCAUAGACCAGGCAGUAGUAUGCAUAGACCAGGUAGUAGUAUGCAUAGACCAGGCAGAAGUAUGCACAGACCAGGCAGUAGUAUGUACAGACCAGGCAGUAGUAUGUACAGACCAGGCAGUAGUAUGUACAGACCAGGCAGUAGUAUGUACAGACCAGGCAGUAGUAUGUACAGACCAGGCAGUAGUAUGUACAGACCAGGUAGUAGUACGUACAGACCAGGCAGUAGUACGUACAGACCAGGCAGUAGUAUGCAUAGACCAGGCAGAAGUAUGCAUAGACCAGGCAGAAGUAUGCAUAGACCAGGCAGUAGUAUGUACAGACCAGGCAGUAGUAUGUACAGACCAGGCAGUAGUAUGUACAGACCAGGCAGUAGUAUGUACAGACCAGGCAGUAGUAUGUACAGACCAGGCAGUAGUAUGCAUAGACCAGGCAGUAGUAUGUACAGACCAGGCAGUAGUAUGUACAGACCAGGCAGUAGUAUGUACAGACCAGGCAGUAGUAUGCAUAGACCAGGCAGUAGUAUGUAUAGACCAGGCAGUAGUAUGCAUAGACCAGGUAGAAGUAUGUACAGACCAGGCAGUAGUAUGCAUAGACCAGGCAGUAGUAUGUACAGACCAGGCAGUAGUAUGCACAGACCAGGCAGUAGUAUGUACAGACCAGGCAGUAGUAUGCAUAGACCAGGCAGUAGUAUGUACAGACCAGGCAGUAGUAUGUACAGACCAGGCAGUAGUAUGUACAGACCAGGCAAUAGUAUGUGUGUAUAAUGCAUAGACUAGGCAGUAGUAUGUACAGACCAGGCAGUAGUAUGUACAGACCAGGCAGUAGUAUGCAUAGACCAGGCAGUAGUAUGCAUAGACCAGGCAGUAGUAUGCAUAGACCAGGCAGUAGUAUGUAUAGACCAGGUAGUAGUAUGUAUUUUAAACAUCUUCUCCAGGACCACUGGACCAAUUGGCACCAAAUUUGGAAUAUAUAGUCUAUAUACCCAUGUCUUUAAAUGCAGCAUUUUCCAGGACUAUAGCUCAAACAUUAUGGCUGCUAUGAAUCAAUGAGCUUGCACGAAUGGCUUUCAUGUCCAACAUCGCCACCAUGCGUAAAAACUGAACCAUACUUUCCAGGUUAGCUAGGCUCAUAUCCCUGAGCACGUGCACCAAAUUUCAUCACUCUGAGUCAAACAAAUUAAGAGAUAUAAACAUGUGCCUGUUAUACUGCCACUGUGUUGUCAAUCUGAAUGUGCUUGGAUAUGUUGAGUCUUCACAGUGUUUGGAACACGUGUACCAAGUUUUGUUACUAUACGUAUACGUGACUGACGUAUAUGCAUUCAUGUGCCAGACCACGCCCAGAAUGCUUAUUGGUCAAUAAUGGCCAUGUUGAUUUAGGUACUAGUCUGGAAAAUGUUUUAUUGGGAAAACGUUGUCCAUAGAUGCCACAUAUCAUGUUUUGUAGAGAUCCGCCACUCGGUGCCAGAGAAGUAGCGUUUAACGUGUUUUUCACUCAAUUCUAAACGGUGGAAAAUCCAUCAUUGUGAAUCUAAUGGAUCCUUGAGGUAAAUUUGGAGAGGGACCUAUGUACCGAAUUUCAUGACUCUAGAUAAAACAGGGUGAGGGGCACGACCUUUCAAAAUUGGCAUUUUCAAUCGCUUGUUAUAGCGACACCAUCUAGCCAACUGGCAUCGCAUGGGUGGGUUUGGCAGCUGGCCCUUAACAUCAUGUCAGGUUGCACCAUCCGAGGCCUUACCAUCUCACAGUAAUUAGCAUUUCAAUUUCGCCUUACAGAAGAAGAGGAUUAAUAAACAACGUAGCUGCAAUCAGCAAUGCCGGGGUUCAGCUGUGGGCCCACUGUGCCCUAGGACGAGUUACUUAUUUACCAUUUACCACUCUUGCCAAAUAAAACAACUCAAAAUCAAAGGGAUCAUGCAAUAUACUGUUUUGGUGUAUUUUGGAACAAUUUUCAAUGAUAUUGACUACUUUAAAUUAAAAGUCUUCUUCUCCAGAACUGCUGGACCGAUUGUGUCCAAAUGCGGUAUAUAUCUUCAAACGCAAUAUUUUUGAAGACUCUAGCUGAAAACAAUAUGGCCGCUAUGAGCCAAUGAGCUUGCAUUAAUGUUUUUUUUUCUGUCCAACAGCGCCACAAUGUGGACAAACUCAACCCUAAUUGACCGGUUAGCUACUCAUAUCCUUGAGCCUGUGCGGCAAAAUUUCAACAGAUCAAGAAAUAUAAACAUGUGCCCGUUAUAGAGCCACCAAGUGGCUGAUAUGAAGGUGUUGCAUUUUUUGGGAGUCUUGACAGUGUUUGCAACAUGUUUACCAAGUUAUGUUACAAUACAAAUAUUCGUGAUUGAUUUGUAUGCAUUUAUGCGCCUGACCAGGCCCACAUGACUGCUUAUUGGUUAAUAGCGGCCAUGUUGUUUUAGGGACUAGUCUCGUGUAGAUUGGUCAUUCGGUGCCAGAGUAGUAGCGUUUUCAGUGGUUUUUUUCCACAAAACUCUAAAUGGCGGAAAAUCCAUCAUGGCGGAGCUUAUGAAGAGAGACCUACAGUAUGUGCCGAAUUUCAUGCCUCUAGGUCACACGGCAUACAGGGUAGCUUUCAAAGUUAGCAUUUUCAAUCAUUUGUUAUAGCGCCACCAUGUGGCCAAUUGGCAUGACAUUGCAUGAGACGGUGUGGCCAAUGGCCCUUUACCAUCAUGCAAAUGUGUAUCCUCCUAGGCCUUAAUAUCUCACAGGAAUUAAGAGUUUUUUUUCACCAAAUUGGCGGAUAUAAACAUGGGCUGGUUAUGAUGCACAGUGUGGUCGAUCUGAAUAUGCUUGCAUAUGUUGACAGUGUUUGGAAGUGUUUGGAACACUGGAACUCUAGAGUAGCCUUCCCUGUAGCUCAGUUGGUAGAGCAUGGUGUUUGCAACGCCAGGGUUGUGGGUUCGAUUCCCACGGGGGCCCAGCACAGGGAAAAAACAAAACAGCCCCAGACCAUUAUUCCUCCUCCACCAAACUUUACAGUUGGCACUAUGUAUUGGGGCAGGUAGCGUUCUCCUGGCAUCCGCCAAACCCAGAUUCAUCUGUC